rnacentral:lncRNA from 1 species
AGCAUUUUUACAAUAUCGUUCGAAUGUAGGCUACAUUUUUGAAGGUUUUGCUCGCAUGGAAGGCGAAAGGGAGAAAUCUCCCAUUAAUGCCGAGCAACAAGAGGAGAAUAUCGAUUCUGUGUCCAGCGAUGGCCAAGGAACGAGUGGACAGCCGUCGUCUUCUGCGACAUCUGCGCUGAGUUCUAAACCUCAGAGUCCCGGGAAACACAUGGAUAGCAAUGAAAGAGCUUUAAGUGGUA